UACGAAGGGGGCUAGCGUUGCUCGGAAUUACUGGGCGUAAAGCGCACGUAGGCGGCUUUCUAAGUCGGGGGUGAAAUCCUGGAGCUCAACUCCAGAACUGCCUUCGAUACUGGAGAGCUUGAGUCCGGGAGAGGGGGGUGGAAUUCCCAGUGUAGCGGUGAAAUGCGUAGAUAUUGGGAGGAACACCGGUGGCGAAGGCGGCCCCCUGGACCGGUACUGACGCUGAGGCGCGAAAGCGUGGGUAGCAAACGGG
rnacentral:rRNA from 1 species